rnacentral:rRNA from 1 species
CCUACGGGGGGCAGCAGUUAGGAAUAUUGGUCAAUGGGCGGGAGCCUGCACCAGCCAAGUCGCGUGAGGGAAGACGGUCCUAUGGAUUGUAAACCUCUUUAGGCGGGGAGCAAUGCCGGGCACGUGUGCCCGGAGGGAGAGUACCCGCAGAAUAAGCAUCGGCUAACUCCGUGCCAGCCGCCGCGGUAAUACGGAGGAUGCGAGCGUUAUCCGGAUUUAUUGGGUUUAAAGGGUGCGUAGGCGGAGUUUUAAGUCAGCGGUAAAAUGUCCGGGCUCAACCCGGGCCGGCCGUGGAAACUGGGGAUCUUGAGUGGGCGAGAGGAAUGCGGAAUGCGUGGUGUAGCGGUGAAAUGCAUAGAUAUAACGCAGAACUACGAUUGCGAAGGCAGCAUACCGGCGCCCGACUGACGCUGAGGCACGAAAGCGUGGGGAUCGAACAGGAUUAGAUACCCUAGUAGUC